AUUGAACGCUGGCGGCAGGCUUAACACAUGCAAGUCGAGCGAGCGGCGGACGGGUGAGUAAUGUCUGGGAAACUGCCUGAUGGUGGGGGAUAACUACUGGAAACGGUAGCUAAUACUGCAUACCAUCAGAUGAACCCAUAUGGGGUUAGCUAGUAGGUGAGGUAACGGCGUACCUAGGCGACGAGCCCUAGCUGGUCUGAGAGGAUGAUCAGCCGCACUGGGAGUGAGACACGGCCCAGACUCCUACGGUAGGGAGCAGGGGGGAAUAUUGCACAAUGGGCGCAAGGCUGAUGCAGCGAUGCCGCGUGUAUGGAGAAGGCCUUCGGGUUGUAAGGUACUUUCAGUAGGGAGGCGGUACCGACAGAGGAAGCACCGGCUAACUCCGUGCCAGCAGCCGCGGUAAUAC
rnacentral:rRNA from 1 species